UACGUAGGUGGCGAGCGUUGUCCGGAUUUAUUGGGUUUAAAGGGUGCGUAGGCGGGUUGUUAAGUCAGUGGUGAAAGCUCCGAGCCCAACUCGGAAACUGCCAUUGAUACUGAUGAUCUUGAGUACAUUUGAGGUGGGCGGAAUGUGUCAUGUAGCGGUGAAAUGCUUAGAGAUGACACAGAACACCGAUUGCGAAGGCAGCUCACUAAACUGUAACUGACGCUGAGGCACGAAAGCGUGGGGAGCAAACAGG
rnacentral:rRNA from 1 species